rnacentral:rRNA from 1 species
AGUGAACGCUGGCGGUAGGCCUAACACAUGCAAGUCGAACGGCAGCACAGUAAGAGCUUGCUCUUACGGGUGGCGAGUGGCGGACGGGUGAGGAAUACAUCGGAAUCUACUUUUUCGUGGGGGAUAACGUAGGGAAACUUACGCUAAUACCGCAUACGACCUACGGGUGAAAGCAGGGGAUCUUCGGACCUUGCGCGAUUGAAUGAGCCGAUGUCGGAUUAGCUAGUUGGCGGGGUAAAGGCCCACCAAGGCGACGAUCCGUAGCUGGUCUGAGAGGAUGAUCAGCCACACUGGAACUGAGACACGGUCCAGACUCCUACGGGAGGCAGCAGUGGGGAAUAUUGGACAAAGGGGGCAAGCCUGAUCCAGCCAUACCGCGUGGGUGAAGAAGGCCUUCGGGUUGUAAAGCCCUUUUGUUGGGAAAGAAAAGCAGCAGGUUAAUACCCCGCUGUUCUGACGGUACCCAAAGAAUAAGCACCGGCUAACUUCGUG